AUUGAACGCUGGCGGCAGGCCUAACACAUGCAAGUCAAGCGGAUGAAGGGAGCUUGCUCCUGGAUUCAGCGGCGGACGGGUGAGUAAUGCCUAGGAAUCUGCCUGGUAGUGGGGGAUAACGUCCGGAAACGGGCGCUAAUACCGCAUACGUCCUGAGGGAGAAAGUGGGGGAUCUUCGGACCUCACGCUAUCAGAUGAGCCUAGGUCGGAUUAGCUAGUUGGUGGGGUAAAGGCCUACCAAGGCGACGAUCCGUAACUGGUCUGAGAGGAUGAUCAGUCACACUGGAACUGAGACACGGUCCAGACUUCUACGGGAGGCAGCAGUGGGGAAUAUUGGACAAUGGGCGAAAGCCUGAUCCAGCCAUGCCGCGUGUGUGAAGAAGGUCUUCGGAUUGUAAAGCACUUUAAGUUGGGAGGAAGGGCAGUAAGUUAAUACCUUGCUGUUUUGACGUUACCAACAGAAUAAGCACCGGCUAACUUCGUG
rnacentral:rRNA from 1 species